UGGCCGCACUCCAAAUCCUGAUGUUCUUUGCAAUACAAGAAUAAAAUUUGUGACUUCCAGGUGCAUUCAUGGACGCCAUCUACAGUUUGGAUUAUGACUAUAUUGCAUCUGGGCAUUAUGCGAAUGUUGUUCACCCAUCUGCUGAUCAAAGCAAUAACGCUUCUAUCUUAGAACUGUCAAAGGACAUGGUCAGGAUCAAACAUACUUCCUUUCACACCUCUCUCAGUUCCAGCUCAAACGA